rnacentral:rRNA from 1 species
GAUGAACGCUGGCGGCGUGCCUAAUACAUGCAAGUCGAGCGAACAGACGCGGAGCUUGCUCCUCUGACGUUAGCGGCGGACGGGUGAGUAACACGUGGAUAACCUACCUAUAAGACUGGGAUCACUUCGGGAAACCGGAGCUAAUACCGGAUAAUCUCUUGAUCCGCAUGGUUCAAUAGUGAAUGACGGUUUUGCUGUCACUUAUCGAUGGAUCUGCGCCGCUUUAGCUAGUUGGUAAGUUAACGGCUUUUCAAGGCAACGAGGCGUAGCCGACCGGAGAGGGGGGUCGGCCACACGGGAACGGGAACACGGACCAGACGCCUACGGGAGGCAGCAGUAGGGAACCUUACGCAGUGGGGGAAAGCCUGACGGAGCAACGCCGCGUGAGUGAUGAAGGUCUUCGGAUCGUAAAACUCUGUUAUUAGGGAAGAACAAAUGUGUAAGUAACUAUGCACGUCGUGACGGUACCUAAUCAGAAAGCCACGGCUAACUACGUG